AUCCGCCAACCGCUCGCGAGAAAACGACGACGUUUACUGAAGACAGGCACUGGCUAUUAAAAAAACACGUUUUGUUUCAAUAAUUCCUCCACAAUUUGACCUUACUUUUGAAUUAAAAUACAUUUAUUUGACAAUCGUUGAAUUCUGAUAGUUUCUGUUUUGAACUCGCUCGAGGAGUAUCGAGUGAUAUAACGUUACAUUAUAGCGUUUUCCUCAAAGGCGGUUAUCUUGCUGUUGGAUCGAGUCCCUUUUGACGGUUUGAUCAUGAAGGAGGCCAGCCCUGGACGUCUCAGUGAGGGUGUGAAGCUCAUCUUUGAUCAGAAGGCUCCGUCUGGUCGCAGAUCCUCUCGCUCCAGCAGCAGCAGCAGUGACAGCUCGUUCUCCAGCAGCAGGGGGAGCCGCUCCUCCCGCAGGUCACCGAGCUCUUCACGGAGCUCAUCCUCCGACAGUGACUCUUCCUCACCAUCACGCUCUCGCUCACGUUCCCGCUCCCAUCCACGCUGCUCAGGCCGCUCACGCUGCCGUCACAGGCACCAUUCUCCUCCUCGCCGCUACCGGGCUCGCUCCCGCUCUUACAGCCCUUCUCCUGAACGUUCCUCCCACCGCAGGCGAUACCAGCGCUCUCCAUCCCCCUACGGCUACUCCAGACGUUACAGGCGUUCUCCGUCCCGAUCCCGCUCUCGCAGUCGCUCCCCUGUCUACUGGAGGGGAAGCAGGUUUGUGGGGAGGUACCGGUGCCGUUUCUCCCGCUCACCCAGGAGAUCCAGAGAUUACAGAAGCCGGUCUCGCAGCCGUGAUCGCUCUGCGGUCCGCCUCAGCCUCGAGGAGAAGAAGUAUCUGUUAAAUGUGGCCAAAGAAAAUGCUGCCAGGAUUCUGGGAGUGCAGAACUUGGAGCUGCCAGCUAGCCUGAAGGAGCUGGAGGAGAAGGAGAAGAGAUCGUCAUCAGAUAAAGAAGAAAGGGUGAGCGCAAGCCAGGCACCACAGAAGACACCAGCACAGGUGAGCCUCACAAACAUGCAUACAGACGUGCCACUAACACACACAGUAUUAGUUUGACUUCUGUAAUGUUGCAUGAACGUCCUGGGUGUUAGACAUUUGACAAUUAUAUCUGUGAUCUCGGGACGUUGACUAACCCGUUGAAACACGUCUAUUUAAAAUGUGAUUGCGCGCUGUACUUACCCAACCUGGGUCACCAUGUAAUCUGUCUCCUCAGACAUGAAUGAUUUUACCUGAUGGAUUUAAUGGAAUGAUGAACAGCACUUGUCCGGAUUAGAACUGAAACUCCUCCACCCUUUGGACAAAGAGGGAGAGAGGGGGAGGUCACUUGACUUGAAUGACACCAGCUUUAAGUCUUAUGUGCACAACUGCAAAGGUUAAGUAAUUGUGUAUGAUGUCAGCGGUAGCCUUGUGUCGAACAAAAACAGACCACAUGCAUCUGUGUGAUUCACCUCGCACUCAACACUUUGAGACACCACACAACAGCACAUAUGCGGGAAAGUUUGUGGUCAGUAGAUUUUCAGGUGUGUUUUUUUUUUAUUUUUUUAAUUUU